ACCCUAAUGCUGGAAUUUGGUAGACAGAAAUUAGUUAAGAUAAUUUGAAUAAGAUCAUGGGAGUUCAAGUCUCUCUUAGGGUA
rnacentral:tRNA from 1 species